rnacentral:rRNA from 1 species
GAUGAACGCUGGCGGCGUGCCUAAUACAUGCAAGUCGAGCGAACGGACGAGAAGCUUGCUUUUCUGAUGUUAGCGGCGGACGGGUGAGUAACACGUGGAUAACCUACCUAUAAGACUGGGAUAACUUCGGGAAACCGGAGCUAAUACCGGAUAAUAUUUUGAACCGCAUGGUUCAAAAGUGAAAGACGGUCUUGCUGUCACUUAUAGAUGGAUCCGCGCUGCAUUAGCUAGUUGGUAAGGUAACGGCUUACCAAGGCAACGAUGCAUAGCCGACCUGAGAGGGUGAUCGCCGACACGGGAACUGGGACACGGUCCAGACUCCUACGGGAGGCAGCAGUAGGGAAUCUUCCGCAAUGGGCGAAAGCCUGACGGAGCAACGCCGCGUGAGUGAUGAAGGUCUUCGGAUCGUAAAACUCUGUUAUUAGUGGAGAACAUAUGUGUAAGUAACUGUGCACAUCUUGACGGUACCUAAUCAGAAAGCCACGGCUAACUACGUG